GGUUGUGACAUCAGUCGCAGCGCCGAGUAGCUAUAUUCCUAAGGGAUAACCGCUGAAAGCAUCUAAGCGGGAAGCCCACCUAAAGAUUAGAACUCGUUUUCCUUAAUCGGAAUGAAGACCCCUAGAAGAAUACUAGGUAUAGUCGGGAGUAAGUGGAAGUCCUGUAAAGGAUUAAGCUUAACUUUACGAAUUGGUCGAAGGAAGACCUUG
rnacentral:ncRNA from 1 species